UACGUAGGGUGCGAGCGUUGUCCGGAAUUAUUGGGCGUAAAGGGCUCGUAGGCGGUCUGUCACGUCGGGAGUGAAAACACGGGGCUUAACCCCGUGCCUGCUUCCGAUACGGGCAGACUAGAGGUAUGCAGGGGAGAACGGAAUUCCUGGUGUAGCGGUGAAAUGCGCAGAUAUCAGGAGGAACACCUGUGGCGAAAGCGGCUCACUGGACCACAACUGACGCUGAGGCGCGAAAGCUAGGGGAGCGAAUGGG
rnacentral:rRNA from 1 species